rnacentral:lncRNA from 1 species
GCACAUUCCUCGCAUUCUAGGAUUGAGAUACACAGUUUGGUUCUUGUGAGGGCAGCCAGGGCUGGGGAGGAGGGCAGAGAACAUCCCAGAGAUCAAGACUGCUCUUCUUGCUCCCUCCCCGACUGACUUGGCCCACACUGACUGGCCUGCCACCCCUUUACAGUGAUCUCCACCCAGUCUCUCUCUGCAAAGGCCUCCCUUGGCUCUCUGAUAAAGUUGGAGCUGUGGGUGCAGCAUUUCACUUGGACCUAGCAGCAUCAAUGAGCCAGCUCCUCACUGGGGAACAUGCAAACCCCCAGCUGCUGGUGUGCAGGAAAAGAAUCCAGGAGAUCACCUGAUGAAGCCCAGCAUUUUACAGAUAGGCAGUGGAGCAGGGGAAUCCAGUUGACACUGUGGCUAAAUUUCAGAAAACCUCCCAUGAGAUCUUGCAAAGGAGAUGGAGAAAAUAUGGCUGAAUGCCAGCAAGAGUGGCUGUGAGAGGAAAUUCAGAAGUAUCUUUGGAAGCAUUUUGUUAAUUUUGAGAUGCUGGGGACAUCAUCAAAAUGAAAAACUUUUGUGCCUCAAAGAACACCAUCAAGAAACUGAAAAGACAACCCAAGAAGACAAAAUUUGCAAAUCUUAUAUCUGAU